CCUACGGGGGGCAGCAGUAGGGAAUAUUGCUCAAUGGGGGAAACCCUGAAGCAGCAACGCCGCGUGGAGGAUGAAGGUUUUCGGAUUGUAAACUCCUUUUGUUAGAGAAGAUAAUGACGGUAUCUAACGAAUAAGCACCGGCUAACUCCGUGCCAGCAGCCGCGGUAAUACGGAGGGUGCAAGCGUUACUCGGAAUCACUGGGCGUAAAGGGCGCGUAGGCGGGAUAGCAAGUCAGAUGUGAAAUCCUAUGGCUUAACCAUAGAACUGCAUUUGAAACUGUUAGUCUAGAGUAUGGGAGAGGUAGGUGGAAUUCUUGGUGUAGGGGUAAAAUCCGUAGAGAUCAAGAGGAAUACUCAUUGCGAAGGCGACCUGCUAGAACAUAACUGACGCUGAUGCGCGAAAGCGUGGGGAGCAAACAGGAUUAGAUACCCGAGUAGUC
rnacentral:rRNA from 1 species